AUAAACCUGCUCUCCUAGGAGACCUGAAGGCUGCUUCCGCUAACCCGGGCUGGCGCUGCUAACCUCACCCAACGAUCCCUGCUGUCGGAAAAUGUCCAGAGGCACCAUCCCUGCUAUGAAGAGGGAAUGCCAGUACAACAGCCACAAGGGGUCUUCCUGUGGCCCUCAAACAAAAAAUCACUGCAUUACAUCAGCAGAGUCGGAUUCUCGCCCUGUUCCCCAGGCUGCAGUGCAGUGGCGCGAUCUCGGCUCACUGCACCUCCGCCUCCCGGACUCCAGCAAUUCUCCUGCCUCAGCCUCCUGAGUAGCUGGGAUUACAGGCGCGCGCCACCACACCCGGCUAAUUUUUUGUAUUUUAGUAGAAACGGAGUUUCACCGUGUUGCCCAGGCUGGUCUCAAACUCCUGAGCUCAGGCAGUCCACCCGCCUCGGCCU
rnacentral:lncRNA from 10 species